AUUGAACGCUGGCGGCAUGCCUUACACAUGCAAGUCGAACGGCAGCACGGGGCAACCUGGUGGCGAGUGGCGAACGGGUGAGUAAUGCAUCGGAACGUACCUUUCAGUGGGGGAUAACGUAGCGAAAGUUACGCUAAUACCGCAUAUUCUGUGAGCAGGAAAGCAGGGGAUCGCAAGACCUUGCGCUGAUUGAGCGGCCGAUGUCAGAUUAGCUAGUUGGGGAGGUAAAGGCUCACCAAGGCGACGAUCUGUAGCGGGUCUGAGGGGAUGAUCCGCCACCCUGGACGUGAGGCACGGUCCAGACUCCUACGGGGGGCAGCAGUGGGGAAUUUUGGACAAUGGGGGCAACCCUGAUCCAGCCAUGCCGCGUGAGUGAAGAAGGCCUUCGGGUUGUAAAGCUCUUUCGGCCGGGAAGAAAUCGCACGGGCUAAUACCCUGUGUGGAUGACGGUACCGCAAUAAGAAGCACCGGCUAACUACGUGCCAGCCACCGCCGUAACAC
rnacentral:rRNA from 1 species